rnacentral:rRNA from 1 species
GAUUUCUGGCGACUUGACUUCAGGCCGGCCACGGUUUCGUGUGUUAGUGCUUGAAUUCUUCGCCAUCCUUCCAAUGGCCAUUCAUCCUUCUUCAUUGAGGUGGUGAGUGGUAUUGGAUCUUUUACUUUGAAAAAAUUAGAGUGUUUCAAGCAGGCUUUAUGCUAUGAAUACAUUAGCAUGGAAUAAUAAUUUAGGACUUCGGUUCUAUUUUGUUGGUUUCUAGGACUGAAGUAAUGAUUGAUAGGGAUAGUUGGGGGUGCUAGUAUUCAGCGGCCAGAGGUGAAAUUCUCGGAUUCGCUGAAGACUAACUUAUGCGAAAGCAUU